rnacentral:rRNA from 1 species
AUUGAACGCUGGCGGCAGGCCUAACACAUGCAAGUCGAGCGGAUGAGUGGAGCUUGCUCCAUGAUUCAGCGGCGGACGGGUGAGUAAUGCCUAGGAAUCUGCCUGGUAGUGGGGGACAACGUUUCGAAAGGAACGCUAAUACCGCAUACGUCCUACGGGAGAAAGUGGGGGAUCUUCGGACCUCACGCUAUCAGAUGAGCCUAGGUCGGAUUAGCUAGUUGGUGAGGUAAAGGCUCACCAAGGCGACGAUCCGUAACUGGUCUGAGAGGAUGACCAGUCACACUGGAACUGAGACACGGUCCAGACUCCUACGGGAGGCAGCAGUGGGGAAUAUUGGACAAUGGGCGAAAGCCUGAUCCAGCCAUGCCGCGUGUGUGAAGAAGGUCUUCGGAUUGUAAAGCACUUUAAGUUGGGAGGAAGGGCAGUAAGUUAAUACCUUGCUGUUUUGACGUUACCAACAGAAUAAGCACCGGCUAACUUCGUGCCAGCCGCCGCGGUAAUAC